ACCUGGCUGGCUCAGUUGGUAGAGCAUGUGACUCUGGAUUUCAGGGUUGUAAGUUCGAUCCCUACGUUGGGUG